rnacentral:ncRNA from 2 species
AAAUAAAUACUUCUCCGAUUUUGGAAUUUCUACGGACGCAAUCGCGGCUAUGAGUUCCAAAACGAAGGAUGGCACGCCAUCCCGCCUGAUUUUAGGCGAAGGGUUUACUUGAAGAAAUUCGUAAGCCUCCCGGCUUGGAAAGGAGAAUCGCCACACAGAAA